GAUGAAGAACGUAGCGAACUGCGAUAAGUAAUGUGAAUUGCAGAAUUCAGUGAAUCAUCGAGUCUUUGAACGCACAUUGCGCCCCCUGGCAUUCCGGGGGGCAUGCCUGUCCGAGCGUCAUUGCUGCCCAUCAAGCCCGGCUUGUGUGUUGGGUCGUCGUCCCCCCCGGGGGACGGGCCCGAAAGGCAGCGGCGGCACCGUGUCCGGUCCUCGAGCGUAUGGGGCUUUGUCACCCGCUCGAUUAGGGCCGGCCGGGCGCCAGCCGACGUCUCCAACCAUUUUUUUCAGGUUGACCUCGGAUCAGGUAGGGAUACCCGCUGAACUUAAGCAUAUCAAUAAGCGGAGGA
rnacentral:misc_RNA from 1 species